rnacentral:lncRNA from 1 species
CUGACUGUCCCCCAUGACCGGGUUUUAUUCGCUCCUCAUUUUUGCCUCUUGAUUUCCUUGGCUUCUUGUGUGUCUCAGCUCAAAUCCUCCCUUCUCUAGGAGCCCAUUCCCACUGCUCGUACCUUCCCUUUGACAUGAUUUGCCAUUUGCAUUGCCAUACAUAUAUAUGUAGAUAUACAUAUCUUGUAUGUAUGUAGUUACUUGCCUGUUGUAGAUCUCUCCCAUCAUAGCAUAAACUCCUCCAGGUGAAGGCCCAUGUUUCUGUCUUUCUUUGUAUUCCUGGCACUUAGCACAGGUCCUAGUAAUUGCUUUAUAAAUGCUUGUCAACUGACUGACAAGUGACAGAGAGACAAAUUUAGACUCCGUGUAAGGGAGCAUCAUUCUAACAAUGACAACUUAUCACCAAGUGGAAUGUGCUGGCCCAGAGGGGGAGACUUCACUGGAGCCUGAAAGCUCACUUGUCAAAUAUGUCAUAAAGGGAGUUCUUGCUCAGGUAUGGGGUGGUCCUUGACUAUCACAGCUCUGAUGGGUGAUUCUUUGAUUUUCCUGUUCUGUCCUCAGUGGUGGAAGAUGGAAAACAGGGGGAGGCAUCCAGAACCAGACAGGACUGCUAACUUUGGGAUACUUCUACACAAAUCCUGCCAUUCAUUUCAAUGUAUACAAAUGGUGUGCUCCUUGUGUGUUUCCAAAGCAUUGUUUCAAGGACUUAAAAGUCAAUUGGGAAUAAACAAAUGUCUUUCAGACUGAAAGUUGGGAGAAACAGGAGCAGACAACUGAAAAUUAAAAGAAGACAGGAAGAGUAAAAAUGAAAGAUAAUGAAAUCUUAUGGCAAGAUGUUAUAGAGAAAAACCUUGACUUGGAAAUCACAAGAAACUGGUCAAAAACCUGGCUCUGCUAUUUAACUCCUUAUGUGUCCGUGGUUAAGUCCGCGGUUUCUUUCUCUUGGCCUCAGUUUCCUCAUUUAAAAAAAAAAGAGAUGAUCUUUUCUAAUGCUAAAUCCUGUGAUUUUGUGAUCAUGCAUAUUUUGCUUCACCAUAAAU